rnacentral:rRNA from 1 species
AUGCACGCUGGCGGCGUGCCUAAUACAUGCAAGUCGAGCGAACGGACGAGAAGCUUGCUCCUCUGAUGUUAGCGGCGGACGGGUGAGUAACACGUGGAUAACCUACCUAUAAGACUGGGAUAACUUCGGGAAACCGGAGCUAAUACCGGAUAAUAUUUUGAACCGCAUGGUUCAAAAGUGAAAGACGGUCUUGCUGUCACUUAUAGAUGGAUCCGCGCUGCAUUAGCUAGUUGGUAAGGUAACGGCUUACCAAGGCAACGAUGCAUAGCCGACCUGAGAGGGUGAUCGGCCACACUGGAACUGAGACACGGUCCAGACUCCUACGGGAGGCAGCAGUAGGGAAUCUUCCGCAAUGGGCGAAAGCCUGACGGAGCAACGCCGCGUGAGUGAUGAAGGUCUUCGGAUCGUAAAACUCUGUUAUUAGGGAAGAACAUAUGUGUAAGUAACUGUGCACAUCUUGACGGUACCUAAUCAGAAAGCCACGGCUAACUACGUG